GAUGAACGCUGGCGGCGUGCCUAAUACAUGCAAGUCGAGCGAACGGACGAGAAGCUUGCUUCUCUGAUGUUAGCGGCGGACGGGUGAGUAACACGUGGAUAACCUACCUAUAAGACUGGGAUAACUUCGGGAAACCGGAGCUAAUACCGGCUAAAAUUUUGAACCGCAUGGUUCAAAAGUGAAAGACGGUCUUGCCGUCACUUAUAGAUGGAUCCGCGCUGCAUUAGCUAGUUGGUAAGGUAACGGCUUACCAAGGCAACGAUGCGUAGCCGGUCUGAGAGGGUGAUCGGCCACACUGGAACUGAGACACGGUCCAGACUCCUACGGGAGGCAGCAGUAGGGAAUCUUCCGCAAUGGGCGAAAGCCUGACGGAGCAACGCCGCGUGAGUGAUGAAGGUCUUCGGAUCGUAAAGCUCUGUUAUUAGGGAAGAACAUAUGUGUAAGUAACUGUGCACAUCUUGACGGUACCUAAUCAGAAAGCCACGGCUAACUACGUG
rnacentral:rRNA from 1 species